GAGCCACCAUGCCCGGCCACAUUUUAAAAAUCUAGAUAUUAAAAUUUUAUAUCAACUAUUCCUAUAACCAUAUAAGAAAAUGUCUCCUUAGCUUAAACCUAUUCACAGGGGAAAAAAACCCCCAGAAAUAAACAUACUAAUAUUUAAUAUCUGUGGCUGGGCUUGGAUGGUAUAGUUUUUUCCCCAAUAAGUAAGUGAGAAAGUGUAUUUUAUUCCAAUGUCAAAGGUCACAUAACUUACAAUAAAAGUUUGACUUGGGUUGAGAAACAAAAACUCAAAUUUCAUAUUGUUCCAUGGCCUUUUGCUAUUCAUCUGCAAUGACAUCCUGAAGCAUGAUAAUAUUAAUGGCAUUUGUUUCUCUAACUGACACGUAUUUGCUGUCCAGAAGAUUGCUGUAUUUGCAGAGUUGUCAUUUUGAUAAAAAAGAAAAAGACAUCUUUUUUGCACAGCUUUGUAUUACUUAGAAAAACAAAAAACCCUAUAACCAUAGCUUAGCUUUUCUCUCGUCUCAGUCCACAAGUGAAACUCACUGUUUGACUUUUAUCAGCACGUUUUGUUCUGGUUUACGCUAAAGGAUUUUUGGAUAGCAGGAGAUACACUGCAAUUUAGUUAUUUUUGUGUAGGGAAUGUCUGUCCUGAAGUACCAAGUUACAUAAACUGGCCGUGCAGAAAUCUGGCCUAAGAGUCUCAUAAGGAGUAGAAAUCCUUUGGUUCAUUAGUAGAACUGAAUUGUUCUUAUCUUGGAGCAUUUCAAACACCGGCCUCUUGGAGAGGAUGUCAGUAAGAAUUAGUCAUGACGCAAAGUCAUGGAAUGUUUCAAGGCUCCAUCUGACUGGCUGCUAUAGCCCUUAACCUAAUCUCAACCUUUAAAAAAAAAACAAUUUAAUCUCCUUUUUCUCAUUUGUAGUAUUGUAAAUAUUCAUAUUUUCUAACCCCCAAAUGUAGGACACAAGGGCUAAUACAUGCUUGACAAGAGGUCAGAGUAUUUAAAAUUAGGAUUAUGCCUUAAAAUCCCAUCCUUAGAAUAACCAUAGUCAUAAAUUAAUACUCAUAGACUUGCAAUAGAAGCCUCUGCUAGAGCUACAACUUGGAAAAUUACCCUUAAACUCCAAUUCUGGAGAGAUGUUAGCAAAACGUGGGCUCCCAUCCUGGUCUAAACUCACUUUGUGCUUAGUAAAUACUUGCUGAAUUACUUACAUGCUGGGGUGACGGAUGCAACCAUGAUGAAGGAUCACUGGGGAUUUGGUACUUCGGUCAGAUCUAUCUAGUUGGCCUCAUUUCUUGCAUCUCAUAUUAACGAAAUUGGGUUUAAAAAUUAGGAGAAAUUCUUGCAUGGAAAAAUAAGUUGCAAAGGAUGCAGUGCAAUAUUGGAUGUGUGCUGUGUAGGGAAAAGGAAAUGCAGAGUCCCUUCUGGUUGGUCCAGGUAAUGAUAAGAGGCUGAGUGGUCAAUAAGUGCAUGUCUAUUGACUUUAAUUCUUAAAAGCACCAUAUAGUCUCUUUUUCUCAUGUGUCACCUCCAGGUGAUAAAUUGAUGACGGUGGGAGGAAGCAGGUCAGCCUGGGCAUCUCUGCAAAAGGCUAGAUACAAGUGAGAACUCUACCUCAAGAACUUUCCUUUUUUCUUCCACUAUUUUCUUCUAGCAAAGAAAAUGUUGACUAGAGGUGUCAUUAUUCACCAGCCCACCUAGUAUGUCAGGGGGAGUCGCCAUCAGCAUUCAGAUCCCUUCUCAUUAUAUUUAUUAUCUGUGCCAUCCAUUUUCUUUUGCUCACUUACCCCAAAGAGCAAAAGUCUUACCUAGCCUAAGUAUCCCACUCAACUUUCUUUUCUUUUCUUUUUUUUUUUUUUUGAGACAGGGUCUUGCUCUGUCACCCAAGCUGGAGUGCAGUGGUGCAAUCACAGCUCACUGCAGCCUCGACAUCCUGGGCUCAAGCACUCCUCCCACCUCAGCCUUCUGUGUAGCUGGGACUUACAGGUGUGUACCAACAUGCCCUGGUUAAUUUUUAAAAUUUAUAGAAAUGGGGUCUCACCAUGUUGCCCAGGCUGGUCUCAAACUCCAGGGCUCAAGCAAUCUUUUUGCCUCUGCCUCCCAAAGGAUUAUAGGUGUGAGUCAAUGCGCCUGGCCCCACUCAACUUUCAAGAUUACUUUCCAUGCAACAGCUGAGAGUGAUGGCAGAACACCAUUUUGAGAACUGGCUCCCAGGACAGGUCCUGGCAAUGUUAGAAAAUGCACAGCUCAUUUUUAGGCCCUCCAGUUCCUUUCAUCCAUUUGUCAGCUAUUUAUUGAGCUGUGGGCUAUUUAUUGAGCUGGAGGGACUCAGAGGGAAGACAACAGCCUCAAGGUUCCUGCCUUCAUGAACAUAUUCUCUGUCCUGCUCACUCCUUUUGGGGCUUAUUUUCUCCUACUUUUGCUUUUAGUGGAUUUUAGAUUCAGACUCUACCUUCCCUUUAGUCAAAACUCUACGACAACAAUCUAAUAAACUCAUUUCCUCUAAAGAUUACAUUACUCAGGAUCCUUCUUCUCCAGGAGAGAUUAUAUUUUAACUGAAAAUAAAGCUUUGUUCCAUUUGUCACGACCCUCGUAAUAGCAAUGAAGAAGGCAUUCCUAGCCUCUAGGAUGUCCUAUCAUGUAGGCAGCUAACUAUCUCACCAGCAAGAAACGCCAGGAGACUUUCGGAUCCCAGCCUGGGGUGGGGGUAACGUACUGAUAAUAAGGACAGCUACCACUUACUUGAGUAUUUCUAUGAAUAACUCAAUGUGCCAACUUCUCUGCUUGUAUUAUUUUAUUCUAAUUUUUGAGAAGCCCUAGGAGACACAUGUACUGAUGUUAUUCAACAUCUUUUCACAAAAGAAAUCAGAGGCUUAUGGAGACAAGUAGAAAACUUGAAGGACAAAUUCAGGAG
rnacentral:lncRNA from 1 species